UACGUAGGGGGCAAGCGUUGUCCGGAUUUAUUGGGCGUAAAGAGCGUGUAGGCGGUUUGGUAGGUCCGUUGUGAAAACUCGAGGCUCAACCUCGAGACGCCGAUGGAAACCAUCAGACUAGAGUCCGGAAGAGGAGAGUGGGAAUUCCUGGUGUAGCGGUGAAAUGCGCAGAUAUCAGGAGGAACACCGGUGGCGAAGGCGGGUCUCUGGGCCGAUACUGACGCUGAGGCGCGAAAGCGUGGGGAGCAAACAGG
rnacentral:rRNA from 1 species